rnacentral:piRNA from 1 species
UUACAUGGAUUUAGCUAUGGUGAGCAGC